rnacentral:misc_RNA from 1 species
UCCGUUUUGUCAACGGCAGUCUCUCUAGAGUGCCCAACUUAAUGCUGGCAACUAAAGAUAAGGGUUGCGCUCGUUGCGGGACUUAACCCAACAUCUCACGACACGAGCUGACGACAGCCAUGCAGCAUCUGUGGUGCACCCUCGAAGGUCACACGUUUCCGUGCGCUUGCAGCACCAUGUCAAGUCCAGGUAAGGUUCUUCGCGUUGCAUCGAAUUAAAGAACAUGCUCCGCUGCUUGUGCGGGCCCCCGUCAAUUCUUUUGAGUUUCAACCUUGCGAUCGUACUCCCCAGGUGGAUCACUUAAUGCUUUAGCUCAGACACCAACAGUGUAUCGCUGAUGUCGAGUGAUCAUCGUUUAGGGCGUGGACUAC